GAAGGAUUUAGGCCCUUCGAGUUCAGCUUUUAAGAGCGGAUUUCAAACCACCUUCAAGUUAUUAAUGUUAAGAGCAUUGGUGGCGAGCAUUGAAGGAAAAGUAAUAAAUAAUAGAU
rfam:Caedibacter sp. 37-49 SCNpilot_expt_500_p_scaffold_706, whole genome shotgun sequence.